CCCCUCUCAGGGUCGCACCUGGAGAGUUUCCAGUCCUCUACCAGCAUCAGCUUCGGGAGGGAGAGUCAAGCAGAGGCCUACCCAUUCCAUUCUUAGCAUGGGCAGUGGCUAGCGAGUGGAAGGCCAUUUGCUACAAGU